rnacentral:rRNA from 1 species
AUAGACCCGAAACCAGGUGAUCUAGCCAUGGGCAGGUUGAAGGUUGAGUAACAUCAACUGGAGGACCGAACCGACUAAUGUUGAAAAAUUAGCGGAUGACUUGUGGCUAGGGGUGAAAGGCCAAUCAAACCUGGAGAUAGCUGGUUCUCCCCGAAAGCUAUUUAGGUAGCGCCUCGGACGAAUACUACUGGGGGUAGAGCACUGUUAAGGCUAGGGGGUCAUCCCGACUUACCAACCCUUUGCAAACUCCGAAUACCAGUAAGUACUAUCCGGGAGACACACGGCGGG